UUUUGUGUACAUGCCUACAACAUACCGUUAAUUCAUUAGAUCCCAUUAGAACUUCGUAGUUAAGUGUGCUCGGGCUAGAGUAGUACUGGGAUGGGUGACCGCAUGAGAAUUCCUAGUGUUUUACAUGCC
rfam:Picea glauca, whole genome shotgun sequence.